UCCUAGGAGGAUCACUUUGUGUCUAGGUUC
rnacentral:piRNA from 1 species